rnacentral:rRNA from 1 species
CGGGUGCACUGAUCCGGCCGGGCCUUUCCCUCUGUGGAACCCCAUGGCCUUCACUGGCUGUGCGGGGGAAGCAGGACUUUUACUGUGAAAAAAUUAGAGUGCUCCAGGCAGGCCUAUGCUCGAAUACAUUAGCAUGGAAUAAUAGAAUAGGACGCGUGGUUCUAUUUUGUUGGUUUCUAGGACCGCCGUAAUGAUUAAUAGGGACAGUCGGGGGCAUCAGUAUUCAAUUGUCAGAGGUGAAAUUCUUGGAUCUAUUGAAGACUAACUACUGCGAAAGCAUUUGCCAAGGAUGUUUUCAUUGAUAAGGAACGAAAGUUAGGGGAUCGAAGACGAUCAGAUACCGUCGUAGUCUUAACUAUAAACUAUGCCGACUAGGGAUCGGACGAUGUUAUUUCUUGACGCGUUCGGCACCUUUCGAGAAAUCAAAGUGCUUGGGCUCCAGGGGGAGUAUGGUCGCAAGGCUGAAACUUAAAGAAAUUGACGGAAGGGCACCACCAGGGGUGGAACCUGCGGCUUAAUUUGACUCAACACGGGGAAACUCACCAGGUCCAGACACAGUGAGGAUUGACAGAUUGAGAGCUCUUUCUUGAUUCUGUGGGUGGUGGUGCAUGGCCGUUCUUAGUUGGUGGAGUGAUUUGUCUGCUUAAUUGCGAUAACGAACGAGACCUUAACCUGCUAAAUAGCCCGUACUGCUCUGGCAGUUCGCCGGCUUCUUAGAGGGACUAUCGG